GCAUUAGGGUUUCACUAUUUUUUUACGCUAUUCCGGAUGCAUGCUUUUGUUCUAUUUGCUAUAUAUUUUAGUCAGUAUAUCCAAGUAAAACAUUUAAAUCCAAAGUGCAACAACCACCCACCCAAAACUUAGUGCUACUAUCAAAUA